AACCUUUAGAGAUAGAGUGGUGCCCUUCGGGGAACUUGAAAACAGGUGCUGCACGGCUGUCGUCAGCUCGUGUCGUGAGAUGUUGGGUUAAGUCCCGCAACGAGCGCAACCCUCGUCCUUAGUUGCCAGCAGUUCGGCUGGGCACUCUAAGGAGACUGCCUUCGUAAGGAGGAGGAAGGUGAGGACGACGUCAAGUCAUCAUGGCCCUUACGGCCAGGGCUACACACGUGCUACAAUGGGGCGUACAGAGAGUUGCGAUACCGCGAGGUGGAGCUAAUCUCUUAAAGCGUCUCUCAGUUCGGAUUGUUCUCUGCAACUCGAGAGCAUGAAGCUGGAAUCACUAGUAAUCGUAGAUCAGCAAUGCUACGGUGAAUACGUUCCCGGGCCUUGUACACACCG
rnacentral:rRNA from 1 species